UUCAGGUCCGUCCUCGUGAAGAAAAAGGCAGUGUAAGUAUCCGAGUCAUAGUUUCCCAGGAUUAAUUCCCUUUUACUUCUAUAUCUUCAGCACAAUGUUCGCUCAUAUCCUGCAUAGUCAUAACUUAUUUAAAGUGCACAGAAGUGACUUUGAGCCGCAGAUGAUGACCUCAAGGGCGAGAGGGAAAGUACUUAACUUUAGUGCGCUGUUUGUGUUGGGAGCGACGGAUGAUCAGAGACAGGCGUGGAUUCGAGCUCUGUGCGUCCUAGGAGUGGGCAGCCAUCAGAGAGCUGUGUGUCUGCACUGUCGGGAUGCGGAGUCCCGUUCAUUUCCUUCACCUGUGCACAAUCAAGAGUGGAAAGAGAGGCACGCAGGAAUGUCGCCUCUCAAUUUGGGUUAGAGAAUAUCAUUGGCGUACAAGCUUAAUAGAGAACACGCGUGAGAAUUCAGGACAUGCAUAUGGAUAGCACUCAGAAGAAUUUAGGACAGGCACUAUUGGUAGCACGCGUGAGAUUGCACACUUCAAUUACUGAACAGAGAGCACUCGUGAAUAGGUUGGCACAGCAAAACGUAUUCCCAAACAUGUGAACACAGCAAAGUCAAUACUUUGCAGAAGCACCUUUGGCAGCAAUUACAGCUGAGUAUUUCUGGGUUUUCGUCCGGCUGAAGGAUCAAUUCACCCCCCAGUGUCUGGAGGAAAGCAGACAGAACAAGGUUUUCCUCUAGGAUUUUGCUUAGCUCUAUUUCGUUUGUUUUUUUUUAUCCUGAAAAACAUCCCAGUCCUUAAUGAUUACAACCACAACAUGAUGCACGUGCUGACGGGAUGACCUCACGCAGUUGCUGCAUAUUAUAAUGUCGGUAUAUUCAUGCUGCAAACAGCCCGUUCCAUCUCAUCCCAAUAAUGUUCUAUUGGGUUGAGGUCCGUGGACUGCGCAGGCCACUCAAGUAAACUGAACUUGCUGUCAUGUUCCUAGAACCAUUCUGAGAGAAUAUGGGCUUUGAGACAUGACACAUUAUCCUGCUGGAAGUAAUCAUGUGACAAAGGGUGAACCGUCUCCUUGAAGGGAUGCACCUGGUCAGCAACAAUGUUCAGAUACACUGUGGUGUUCGAACAUUGCCAAGUGGUAUCAAGAGACCUAACGUGUGCCAGGAAAACAUUCCCCAUACCAGUACACCACUGCCACCAGCCUGUACCGUUGACACCAGGCAGGAUGGGGCCAUGGACUCAUGCUGCUUACGCCAAAUCCUGACUCUGCCAACACCACUGUUAUACUGUGCAAUGAAUUGCCUGUUUGUGGACUGCCAGUUAGCUUGCCCAAUUCUUGCCAUUCUCCUUCGACUUCUCUCAUCAACAAGCUGUUUUUACUCACAGGCCCACACUGCCUGGAUGGUUUUUGUUUAUUUCACCAUUCUCCGUAAACUCUAAACACUGUCGUGCGUGAAAAGCCCAGGAGGCCGGCCGUUUCUGAGAUACUGGAACCGUCGCCCCUGGCAACAACUAUCAUACCACACUCAAAGUCGCUUCGGUCACUCGUUUUGCCCAUUCUUACCUUCAAUUGAAUAGUAACUGAAUGCCUCGAUGCCCGUCUGCCUACUUUAUAUAGCACGCACGGCCAAGUGACACACUGUCUACAGAUUUAUAGUAUAUUCCCAUUCCAAUGCAGGAAGACCUUCUGUAGA